AGGUAAUUAGUUUAAUUAAAACAUUUGAUUUCGGCUCAGACAUUUAUGGUUAAAAUCCCUAACUACCUA
rnacentral:tRNA from 1 species